rnacentral:rRNA from 1 species
GACGAACGCUGGCGGCGUGCUUAACACAUGCAAGUCGAACGAAGUGGCGAACGGGUGAGUAACGCGUAAUCAACCUGCCAUUCAGAGGGGGACAACAGUUGGAAACGACUGCUAAUACCGCAUACUGAAGGAGGGGAUUGCGUCUGAUUAGCCAGUUGGAGGGGUAACGGCCCACCAAGGGGAUGAUCAGUAGCCUGGCUGAGAGGAUGAACGGCCAAAUUGGGACUGGGACAAGGCCCAGACUCCUACGGGAGGGAGGAAGUGGGAAUCUUCCGCAAUGGACGAAAGUCUGACGGAGCAACGCCGCGUGAGUGAUGACAGGCUUCGGGUUGUAAAACUCUGUUAAUCGGGACGCGGUACCGGAAUAGAAAGCCACGGCUAACUACGUGCCAGCAGCCGCGGUAAUUC